CGGAGCGAAAUGGUGGGGGGGGAGAUUUAACACAUUGCAAGUCGUACCGGUGAAGCCAAGCUUGCUCUGUGGAUCAGUGGCGAACGGGUGAGUAACACGUGAGCAAUCUGCCCCUGACUCUGGGAUAAGCGCUGGAAACGGCGUCUAAUACCGGAUACGAGCUGCGACCGCAUGGUCAGUAGCUGGAAAGAAUUUCGGUCAGGGAUGAGCUCGCGGCCUAUCAGCUUGUUGGUGAGGUAAUGGCUCACCAAGGCGUCGACGGGUAGCCGGCCUGAGAGGGUGACCGGCCACACUGGGACUGAGACACGGCCCAGACUCCUACGGGAGGCAGCAGUGGGGAAUAUUGCACAAUGGGCGAAAGCCUGAUGCAGCAACGCCGCGUGAGGGAUGACGGCCUUCGGGUUGUAAACCUCUUUUAGCAGGGAAGAAGCGAAAGUGACGGUACCUGCAGAAAAAGCGCCGGCUAACUACGUGCCAGCAGCCGCGGUAAUACGUAGGGCGCAAGCGUUAUCCGGAAUUAUUGGGCGUAAAGAGCUCGUAGGCGGUCUGUCGCGUCUGCUGUGAAAACCCGAGGCUCAACCUCGGGCCUGCAGUGGGUACGGGCAGACUAGAGUGCGGUAGGGGAGAUUGGAAUUCCUGGUGUAGCGGUGGAAUGCGCAGAUAUCAGGAGGAACACCGAUGGCGAAGGCAGAUCUCUGGGCCGUAACUGACGCUGAGGAGCGAAAGGGUGGGGAGCAAACAGGCUUAGAUACCCUGGUAGUCCACCCCGUAAACGUUGGGAACUAGUUGUGGGGUCCAUUCCACGGAUUCCGUGACGCAGCUAACGCAUUAAGUUCCCCGCCUGGGGAGUACGGCCGCAAGGCUAAAACUCAAAGGAAUUGACGGGGACCCGCACAAGCGGCGGAGCAUGCGGAUUAAUUCGAUGCAACGCGAAGAACCUUACCAAGGCUUGACAUAUAGAGGAAACGUCUGGAAACAGUCGCCCCGCAAGGUCUCUAUACAGGUGGUGCAUGGUUGUCGUCAGCUCGUGUCGUGAGAUGUUGGGUUAAGUCCCGCAACGAGCGCAACCCUCGUUCUAUGUUGCCAGCACGUAAUGGUGGGAACUCAUGGGAUACUGCCGGGGUCAACUCGGAGGAAGGUGGGGAUGACGUCAAAUCAUCAUGCCCCUUAUGUCUUGGGCUUCACGCAUGCUACAAUGGCCGGUACAAAGGGCUGCAAUACCGUGAGGUGGAGCGAAUCCCAAAAAGCCGGUCCCAGUUCGGAUUGAGGUCUGCAACUCGACCUCAUGAAGUCGGAGUCGCUAGUAAUCGCAGAUCAGCAACGCUGCGGUGAAUACGUUCCCGGGUCUUGUACACACCGCCCGUCAAGUCAUGAAAGUCGGUAACACCUGAAGCCGGUGACCCUAACCUCUUGUGGACGGAGCUCGUUUGUUAGGUGGGAUCUCGACCCCA
rnacentral:rRNA from 1 species